rnacentral:rRNA from 1 species
CCUACGGGUGGCAGCAGUCGAGAAUCAUUCACAAUGGGGGAAACCCUGAUGGUGCGACGCCGCGUGGGGGAAUGAAGGUCUUCGGAUUGUAAACCCCUGUCAUGUGGGAGCAAAUUAAAAAGAUAGUACCACAAGAGGAAGAGACGGCUAACUCUGUGCCAGCAGCCGAGGUAAUACAGAGGUCUCAAGCGUUGUUCGGAAUCACUGGGCGUAAAGCGUGCGUAGGGUGGUUCGUAAGUCGUGUGUGAAAGGCGCGGGCUCAACCCGAGGACGGCACAUGAUACUGCGAGACUAGAGUGAUGGAGGGGGAAGCGGAAUUCUGGGUGUAGCAGUGAAAUGCGUAGAUA